rnacentral:lncRNA from 1 species
AAGUUGGAUAUGAUUCAAAAUCAUACUUGUCAAGGUACCCUUUCUUGUACAACUUGUUAAUUCUUUUCUCUCCAAUAUGGCCAAGCCUACAAUGCCAAAGGUAUGUUUGAUUUACAUGAUCAUCUCUUUUCCUCUUAAGACUUGAAACAUGCAUAAUCGAAUUAGCAUUCACACUAGGUACUACAACGCCAAAGGUAUGUUUGAUUUACAUGAUCGUCUCUUUUCUUCUUAAGUCUUGAAACAUACAUAAUCGAAUUAGCAUUCACAUUAGGUAAGACAUAAACAUCAUAUUGUAGAUAGCCAUUCACAUAUAAAUUAU